AACGAACGCUGGCGGCAGGCCUAACACAUGCAAGUCGAACGAACUCUUCGGAGUUAGUGGCGGACGGGUGCGUAACACGUGGGAACGUGCCCUUAGGUUCGGAAUAACUCAGGGAAACUUGUGCUAAUACCGAAUGUGCUCUUCGGGGGAAAGAUUUAUCGCCUUUAGAGCGGCCCGCGUCUGAUUAGCUAGUUGGUAGGGUAAAGGCCCACCAAGGCGACGAUCAGUAGCUGGUCUGAGAGGAUGACCAGCCACACUGGGACUGAGACACGGCCCAGACUCCUACGGGAGGCAGCAGUGGGGAAUCUUGCGCAAUGGGCGAAAGCCUGACGCAGCCAUGCCGCGUGAAUGAUGAAGGUCUUAGGAUUGUAAAAUUCUUUCACCGGGGACGAUAAUGACGGUACCCGGAGAAGAAGCCCCGGCUAACUUCGUG
rnacentral:rRNA from 1 species